rnacentral:rRNA from 1 species
GAUCCUGGCUUAGGAUGAACGCUGGCGGCAGGCUAAUACAUGCAAGUCGAACGGUAAGGCCGAGUGCAGCAAUGCACGAGGUACACGAGUGGCGCACGGGUGCGUAACGCGUAUGCAACCUGCCCCCAACCGGGACAAAACAGCUGGAAACGGCUGCUAAUAUCCCAUGGUCACUUAAAACGGCAUCGUUAUGGGUGUAAAGAUUUAUUGGGUUGGGGAUGGGCAUGCGUAUUAUUAGGUAGUUGGCGGGGUAACGGCCCACCAAGCCGACGAUGAUUAGGGGUUCUGAGAGGAAAGACCCCCACACUGGAACUGAGACACGGUCCAGACUCCUACGGGAGGCAGCAGUAGGGAAUAUUGGGCAAUGGAGGCAACUCUGACCCAGCCAAUGCCGCGUGAAGGAAUAAGGCCCUAUGGGUCGUAAACUUCUUUACCGCAGAGUAAACCCGGGGACGCGUCCCCGGUUGAGAGUAUGCGGGGAAUAAGUAUCGGCUAACUCCGUGCCAGCAGCAGC